GACGUAGGGUGCAAGCGUUGUCCGGAUUUACUGGGCGUAAAGCGCGCGCAGGCGGCCCCGCAGGUCGGUUGUGAAAGCCCCCGGCUCAACCGGGCGGAGGCGAGCGAAACCGCGGGGCUGGAGGCUGGCAGAGGGUGGUGGAAUUCCCGGUGUAGUGGUGAAAUGCGUAGAGAUCGGGAGGAACACCCGCGGCGAAGGCGGCCACCUGGACCAGACCUGACGCUGAGGCGCGAAGGCCGGGGGAGCGAACGGG
rnacentral:rRNA from 1 species